rnacentral:rRNA from 1 species
UGAGCAAUCUGCCCUUCUCAUCGGAAUAAGCGUUGGAAACGACGUCUAAUGCCGAAUACGACCUCCUUUCGCAUGAUCGGAGGUGGAAAGCUCCGGCGGAGAAGGAUGAGCUCGCGGCCUAUCAGCUAGUUGGUGUGGGUAAUGGCCCACAAGGCGACGACGGGUAGCCGGCCUGAGAGGGUGACCGGCCACACUGGGACUGAGACACGGCCCAGACUCCGUACGGGANACAG